rnacentral:sRNA from 1 species
UGCAUCUGAAGUUUAUGAGGAUGAGGACCUCCGGGGCAGGAGGUUCGACUUGAGCGAAGCGAAAGAACGUUGCUUCAGCAACGGCCCGCAGGGCGAGUCACGAAGUGGCGAGUAAUCCUCUCUCGCCGACCA